AGGAUCAUUGUCGAAAUAUGCAAAGCAGAAUGACCUGCGAACAAGUGAAAAACAGUGGUAACUUGGUCAUUGGACGUGGUUCGGCCUUGCGCCCCCCGUUUCUCAUGGUCCGAAUCCAACACACCUCAGCGCGGAAUGCGCCAAGGAAAACAAACAGAAUGUGUACGAUGCCCCCUGCACCGUAAAUGGUUGCUUGUGGCUUGCGUAUUUCGCUUACUUUAAUGUUACAACGACUCUCGGCAACGGAUAUCUUGGCUCUCGCAUCGAUGAAGAACGUAGCAAAAUGCGAUAGCUGGUGUGAAUUGCAGAAUCCCGUGAACCAUCGAGUCUUUGAACGCAAGUUGCGCCUGAAGCCGUCAGGCCAAGGGCACGCCUGCCUGGGUGUCACCCUCCCCCUUGCCCAAAUACUCCUCUUACGGAAAAAUGGGAAGAGUCAUUUGGGCGGAUAAAUGGCCUCCCAUGGCGAAUAUGUCUCGUGGUUGGCCCAAAAUUAGCACUUGGCUCUUAGGAAGCAUUCGACAAGCAUUGGCGAAAAACUCCGGUGAUUCCUUGAUCGUUGUUGUCGUGCUAGACUUUGUAGCGUGCUAGAAAAAAAAACCUCGGUGCUUGCAUCCUUAGAUUGCGACCCCAG
rnacentral:rRNA from 1 species